rnacentral:ncRNA from 2 species
GCACAUCGGCCCCACUUCGGUUCCGCGAGAGCGGAUGAAAAGGGAACCCGGUGCGAUGCACGCAUCCAUUCCGGGGCUGCCCCCGCAACUGUGAGCGGCGAGCGAAGGCUGACUGAGCCACUGGGAGAUCCCGGGAAGGCCAGCCCGAGCUGAGACCCGCGAGCCAGGAGACCUGCCGAGGCGCUCAUCCUUUC